CAGACACCAGAACAGACCGCACUGAUUAAACCUUAAUUAAAAGAACAAGCCAGACACCCCCUGUUCUCCUGUCUUCGGUUGGGGCGACCGCGGGGAACAAAAAUCCCCCACGUGGAAUGGGAACAACCUCCCUAAAAAUAGGGCCACACCCCUAAUAAACAGAAAAUCUGACCAGAAAUGACCCGGCAAAGCCGAUCAACGAACCCAGUUACCCUAGGGAUAACAGCGCAAUCCUCUUUUAGAGCCCAUAUCGACAAGAGGGUUUACGACCUCGAUGUUGGAUCAGGACAUCCUAAUGGUGCAGCCGCUAUUAAG
rnacentral:rRNA from 1 species